CAGAUACAGUGAUGAUGGCAUAGUUCAGCAGAAUGUACUGUGAAGAACUGUUUUGUCUUUCGCUCCUAUCUGAUGUAUCUA
rnacentral:snoRNA from 1 species